GAUGAACGCUGACAGAAUGCUUAACACAUCAGCAAUUGAUUGGUGGCGGACGGGUGAGUAACGCGUAAAGAACUUGCAUCACAUGUAGGGACAACAUUUGUAAACGAAUGCUAAUACCUAAUACUGUGAGAGAGCUGUGCGUCCAAGUAGCUAGUUGGAGAGGUAACGGCUCACCAAGGCGAUGAUGGGUAGCCGGCCUGAGAGGGUGAGAGGGCACAAGGGGACUGGGACACGGCCAUUACUGAUACGGGAGGCAGCAGUGGGGACUAUAGGACAAUGGACCAAAGUAUGAUGAAGCAAUUCGGUGUGUAAGAUGAAGUCUUGGGAAUGUAAAGUGCUUUGAGUUGGGAAGUGGUACCAACAGAAGAAGUGACGGCUAAAUACGUGCCAGCAGCCGCGGUAAUAC
rnacentral:rRNA from 1 species